rnacentral:rRNA from 1 species
CUGGUGAGUAACGCGUGGGUGACCUACCUUGAGGAUGGGGAUAGCUGUUAGAAAUAGCAGGUAAUACCGAAUACGUUCACAAUAUUAUGAUUAUGUGAAGAAAGGAGCUACGGCUCCGCCUUGAGAUGGGCCCGCGUCCCAUUAGCUAGUUGGUGAGGUAAAGGCCCACCAAGGCGAAGAUGGGUAGCCGGCCUGAGAGGGCGAACGGCCACACUGGGACUGAGAUACGGCCCAGACUCCUACGGGAGGCAGCAGCUAAGAAUAUUCCGCAAUGGACGAAAGUCUGACGGAGCGACGCCGCGUGGAUGACGAAGGCCGAAAGGUUGUAAAAUCCUUUUGCGGGCGAAGAAGAAGGUCUGGAGGGAAUGCCAGAUCGGUGACGCCGGCCCGCGAAUAAGCCCCGGCUAAUUACGUGCCAGCAGCCGCGGUAACACGUAAGGGGCGAGCGUUGUUCGGAAUUAUUGGGCGUAAAGGGCGCGUAGGCGGCCGCGUAAGUCUGAUGUGAAAACCCCGGGCUCAACCCGGGAACUGCAUUGGAAACUGCGCGGCUUGAGUCACGGAGGGGAAGCCGGAAUUCCUGGUGUAGGGGUGAAAUCUGUAGAUAUCAGGAAGAACACCGAUGGCGAAGGCAGGCUUCCAGCCGAUGACUGACGCUGAGGCGCGAAAGUGCGGGGAGCAAACAGGAUUAGAUACCCUGGUAGUCCGCACUGUAAACGAUGCACACUAGGCGUCGGGGCGAGCGUUCCGGUGCCGAAGCGAACGCGGUAAGUGUGCCGCCUGGGGAGUAUGCCCGCAAGGGUGAAACUCAAGGAAUUGACGGAAU